CCUACGGGUGGCAGCAGUGAGGAAUAUUGGUCAAUGGCCGGGAGGCUGAACCAGCGAAGUCGCGUGAGGGAAGACGGCCCUACGGGUUGUAAACCUCUUUUGUCAGGGAGCAAGGUGCAGGUCGGGACCUGCUGUGAGAGUACCUGAAGAAAACGCAUCGGCUAACUCCGCGCCAGCAGCCGCGGUAAUACGGAGGAAGAGAGGGUUAUCCGGAUUUAUGGGGGUAAAAGGGUGCGCAGGCGGAGGCACAAGUUAGCGGUAAAAUCGCGGGGCUAAACCCCGCCCCGCCGUUGAAACUGUGUCCCUUGAGUGCGCGAAGGGUAGGCGGAAUGCGUGGUGUAGCGGUGAAAUGCGUAGAUAUCACGCAGAACUCCGAUCGCGAAGGCAGCCUACCGGCGCGCAACUGACGUUGAUGCACGAAAGCGUGGGUAGCGAACAGGAUUAGAUACCCGUGUAGUC
rnacentral:rRNA from 1 species